rnacentral:rRNA from 1 species
CCUACGGGCGGCUGCAGUGGGGAAUUUUCCGCAAUGGGCGAAAGCCUGACGGAGCAAUACCGCGUGAGGGAUGACGGCCUAUGGGUUGUAAACCUCUUUUUUCAGGGAGGAAAAAAUGACGUGUACCUGAAGAAUAAGCAUCGGCUAACUCCGUGCCAGCAGCCGCGGUAAGACGGGGGAUGCAAGUGUUAUCCGGAAUCACUGGGCGUAAAGCGUCUGUAGGUGGUUUAAUAAGUCAACUGUUAAAUCUUGAGGCUUAACUUCAAAACCGCAGUCGAAACUAUUAGACUAGAGUAUAGUAGGGGUAAAGGGAAUUUCCAGUGGAGCGGUGAAAUGCGUAGAGAUUGGAAAGAACACCGAUGGCGAAGGCACUUUACUGGGCUAUUACUAACACUGAGAGACGAAAGCUAGGGUAGCAAAUAGGAUUAGAUACCCCGGUAGUCCUGUCU